rnacentral:rRNA from 1 species
CAACUUUCAACAACGGAUCUCUUGGUUCUGGCAUCGAUGAAGAACGCAGCGAAAUGCGAUAAGUAGUGUGAAUUGCAGAAUUCAGUGAAUCAUCGAAUCUUUGAACGCACAUUGCGCCCCUUGGUAUUCCAUGGGGCAUGCCUGUUCGAGCGUCAUUUGUACC